GUUGCCGAUGAGAUAACUAUCCACCUAAGUUCAAAUGAAUUGGAUUUAAGCAAUUACAGAUUUAUUAUACAUAUAAAUACAUGUACAUGUCUUUAUUUGGGUUAGGUGUUAGAUUUAUACAUGUUAUAUACAUGUACAUAUACCUCAAUCAUCAGAUUCACACAAGUAAUUGGUGGUUCAUGGUAUAAAACUGUCACUCAUCUAGGAACACAUAGGAAUAGUUAUAAAUAUAUGACAAUUACCCUUUCGCAUACAUGUAAUUACAGCUAAUGUUUACUAAUUAACACGCCAUUACAUGGAUGUACGCACAUUUCUUUUGUUUCAAUUCUCAGUUAAGACUAUACUUAUUUUUCAUUCUUUAAACG
rnacentral:lncRNA from 1 species